UCUCUACCAAAAAUACAAAAAAUAGCAAGGUGUGGUGGCGAGUGCCUGUAUUCCCAGCUACUCAGGAGGCUUAGUGGGGAGGAUCGAUUGAGUCAAGGAGCUUGAGGCUACAGUGAGCUAUGAUCGCAUCACUGCACUCCAGCAUGGGUAGCAGAGAAAGACCCCGUC